rnacentral:rRNA from 1 species
AUUGAACGCUGGCGGCAGGCCUAACACAUGCAAGUCGAACGAGUGGCGGACGGGUGAGUAAUGUCUGGGAAACUGCCCGAUGGAGGGGGGUAACUACUGGAAACGGUAGCUAAUACCGCAUACCAUCGGAUGUGCCCAGAUGGGAUUAGCUAGUAGGUGGGGUAACGGCUCACCUAGGCGACGAUCCCUAGCUGGUCUGAGAGGAGGACCAGCCACACUGGAACUGUGGCACGGGCCAGACUCCUACGGUAGGCAGCAUUGGGGAAUAUUGCACAAGGGGCGCAAGCCUGAUGCAGCCAUGCCGCGUGUAUGAAGAAGGCCUUCGGGUUGUAAAGUACUUUCAGCGAGGAUGCGUUACUCGCAGAAGAAGCACCGGCUAACUCCGUGCCAGCAGCCGCGGUAAUAC